AACUGGAAUGGCCCAAGGAGGGUGAAAGGCCCGUGGGGGUGGAGAUCAAGUCGGACGGUAUUGCCCUUAGUCGACCUUGGAGUCGGGUUGUUUGUGAAUGCAGCCCAAAGCGGGUGGUAAACUCCAUCCAAGGCUAAAUACUAGCACGAGUCCGAUAGCGAACAAGUACCGUGAGGGAAAGUUGAAAAGUACUUUGAAGAGAGAGUAAACAGUGCGUGAAACCGCUCAGAGGUAAACGGGUGGAGUUGAACUGUAAGCUCCGGGAAUUCAGCUGGUGAGUGUGUCAUGGGCUUGGUCAUUUUCGGCCGGCCUCUGGAGUCCGCUUAGCUGCGGGUCCUUGCUUCUUCGGGAGUAGGGAUGUGCGUUGCGCUUGUCAAGUGCUGUGCGCUCUGGAGGUUGCCGGGCUGGCUCGCCGGUGCACUUUCUCGGAGUGGUCACCACGACCGGCGUUGUUGUCUUGCUGCUGUGGUCGAACCGGCUGGGUUUGGUCCUUGUGGCUGAACUUGGUCGGGAUGGCAGGUAGCUCAUUGGUUGGCUUGUCCAGUCUUUGGGUGUAAUCAGCUGUCUGCAGUGGUAUUGUGCAAUGCGUCGGAGACUGCGGCUUUAGGUAUUUGCUUUCGUGCCGUUCGCUGGCAGUGUUGGGUUUGACUGGCGUGUUACCUGCUUCGGUGGGUCCGUCGGUAGCUCAGUGCUGUUCGGUUAGCGGUGGCUUAAGUGAUAUCGU
rnacentral:rRNA from 1 species